GAGCUAAGUGGUGUCCUUUAAAGUCACCGAACCACUAAGAGGUUGGGCCAGCUCUUAGUCCAGAACUCAGCAAAUACACUGGACUCCCAAGCCAGAGGUGACACCAUGGGUCUGUGCCCUUCAAGAAGAUGCUCCAGGAGCAAUUAUCCUGUUUACAACUAGACCCCGGGAACCAUCCAUCUAAAAAGGAAGUCCCCUCUUCUUGGGAAUAUUGGAUACAGAAUUAGAAGCCUUGCAUCCACUGAGGCUCCUGUUGGCUCAAGAUCUUGGUUUCCUGAGCCCAGUAUACAGAAGCCAUCCCGGGUCUGCACAACUGAGCCACAGCUACCUUGGAUGGAAGUCUUAUUUGAGGUUCCUUAUGAAGGCGUGAUACAAGACCCAGGCGGCGCCGGAGAGCUGGAUCCUAAAUACGUCCCAUCAUAUAGAGUAUGAAGGAGAUAAGGUUGAGCAUCUGUCAAAAACAAAUUUCCGGGAAACGAUCCAAGCUGUAAGAAGCCACGGAGGAAGAGACCCAGGAAGGUCCAGGGUUUCAAUUCUACUGUAGGUCUAUGAAAGCAGCAGCAAAGAAGAAAAGGUAACUUCAAAUCUUCAGAGGUUGGAGUCUGCUCUCAAAGAUGUGCCCCAAAGCCUUUGAGACAGAGAAGACAAUCCGACAUGGGUGCUAUCCCACUAACUGUGACCGUCUCAACACAUUCUCAGAUUGGCUCUUCUGAGCUGGACUCCCGGGACACCACGGGUAUUUUACUUUUUAAGUGGGGUGGGUUCUCUUAAGCUUUUUUUCAUGCUUACUUUUCUGUUGCUUUUAUUUUUGUUUUGAGAGGGUACCAUGUAGCCCAGGCUGGCCUCAAACUUACUACAUAGUAGAGACUGGCUUUGAACUCCUUCCUGAUCCUCUGGGCUCUAGCUCUUUGAUGUCUGGAGUAUGAGGUGUGCCAACAUACUCAACGUUCUUUCUCCCUGUUGCCAUUUAGGAAGCAUGGGUCUCGACACACUGAUGCUAUUCGGGAUUGUAGAGCCACUGACACCAACUGAUAUUCACACACGCACCCUCCAUCCCUGACAUACCCAAGCCACCCCUGCGUCCAUCAGGAUCCUCAGAAAUGCAUCAACACAACUGCCCUUCUUGUUUUUCUAAAAAUGUGGUUUGUGAGCUGGCCCCACAAUCUGAGUUCAGUCCUCAGAACCCAUGGUAGAAGGAGAGACUCCUCCUAAAAGCUG